CUUGACAUCCAGCGAACUUGGCAGAGAUGCCUUGGUGCCUUCGGGAACGCUGAGACAGGUGCUGCAUGGCUGUCGUCAGCUCGUGUUGUGAAAUGUUGGGUUAAGUCCGCAACGAGCGCAACCCUUUAUCCUUUGUUGCCAGCGAUUCGGUCGGGAACUCAAAGGAGACUGCCGGUGAUAAACCGGAGGAAGGUGGGGAUGACGUCAAGUCAUCAUGGCCCUUACGAGUAGGGCUACACACGUGCUACAAUGGCGCAUACAAAAAGAAGCGACCUCGCGAGAGCAAGCGGACCUCAUAAAGUGCGUCGUAGUCCGGAUCGGAGUCUGCAACUCGACUCCGUGAAGUCGGAAUCGCUAGUAAUCGUGGAUCAGAAUGCCACGGUGAAUACGUUCCCGGGCCUUGUACACACCGCCCGUCACACCAUGGGAGUGGGUUGCAAAAGAAGUAGGUAGCUUAACCUUCGGGAGGGCGCUUACCACUUUGUGAUUCAUGACUGGGGUGAAGUCGUAACAAGGUAAGCGUAGCGAG
rnacentral:rRNA from 1 species